GCCCUGUUUAAAACCGUUCCUGUGUGCGUGAAUGCCCAACAAGGCCACUGUAGAACACACCUGAUGUAAUUACAGAUAUCCACAACGCCAUUCUUCCAGUCCAGAAUGGCUCCAGCUUUGCACAGGUUUCUGCAGUCAGCAGGCUGACCAUUAAGCGAUGGUUGUUGUUGGGGUUGCUGCAGGGUUGGAUGGUGGCAGAGGAAGUGACCACGGGUCUACAGAUGACUGAUGAGUUGGUGGCAGAGCAGGGCACCUGCCAGUCCCGGCCUGACACCUUGACAAAAC